rnacentral:rRNA from 1 species
UGGGGAAUCUUCGGCAAUGGACGAAAGUCUGACCGAGCAACGCCGCGUGAGUGAAGAAGGUUUUCGGAUCGUAAAACUCUGUUGGUAGAGAAGAGCGUUGGUGAGAGUGGAAAGCUCAUCAAGUGACGGUAACUACCCAGAAAGGGACGGCUAACUACGUGCCAG